CCUACGGGAGGCAGCAGUGAGGAAUAUUGGUCAAUGGGCUUACGCCUGAACCAGCCAAGUCGCGUGAGGGAAGACUGCCCUCUGGGUUGUAAACCUCUUUUGUCAGGGAGCAAUUGGCGCUACGUGUAGCGUUAUCGAGAGUACCUGAAGAAAAAGCAUCGGCUAACACGGUGCCAGCAGCCGGGGUAAUACGGAGGUUGCGAGGGUUAACCGGAUUUAUUGGGUUUAAAGGGUGCGUAGGCGGAAGGUUAAGUCAGCGGGAAAAUGUAGGUGUGAAACACCGGCCUGCUGUUGAAACUGGUCGUCUUGAGUGAUCGAGAGGUAGGCGGAAUGCGUGGUGUAGCGGUGAAAUGCAUAGAUAUCGCGCAGAACUCCGGUUGCGAAGGCAGCAUACCGGCGCUCAACUGACGCUGAGGCACGAAAGCGUGGGGAUCGAACAGGAUUAGAUACCCGUGUAGUC
rnacentral:rRNA from 1 species